GACGAACGCUGGCGGCGUGCUUAACACAUGCAAGUCGAACGGUAAGGCUCCAGCUUGCUGGGGUACACGAGUGGCGAACGGGUGAGUAACACGUGGGUGACCUGCCCUGCACUUCGGGAUAAGCCUGGGAAACUGGGUCUAAUACCGGAUAGGACCGCACCGUGAGGGUGUGGUGGAAAGUUUUUUCGGUGUGGGAUGGGCCCGCGGCCUAUCAGCUUGUUGGUGGGGUAAUGGCCUACCAAGGCGGCGACGGGUAGCCGGCCUGAGAGGGUGGACGGCCACAUUGGGACUGAGACACGGCCCAGACUCCUACGGGAGGCAGCAGUGGGGAAUAUUGCACAAUGGGCGGAAGCCUGAUGCAUCGACGCCACGUGCGGGAUGACGGCCUUCAGGGUGUAAACUCCUUUCACCAUCGACGAAAGGUUUCUGACAGUAGAUGGAGAAGAAGCACCGGCUAACUACGUGCCAGCAGCCGCGGUGAUACGUAAGGUGCGAGCGUUGUCCGGAAUUACUGGGCGUAAAGAGCUCGUAAGUGGUUUGUCGCGUCGUCUGUGAAAUUCCGGGGCUUAACUCCGGGCGUGCAGGCGAUACGGGCAUAACUUGAGUACUGUAGGGGAGACUGGAAUUCCUGGUGUAGCGGUGAAAUGCGCAGAUAUCAGGAGGAACACCGGUGGCGAAGGCGGGUCUCUGGGCAGUAACUGACGCUGAGGAGCGAAAGCAUGGGGAGCGAACAGGAUUAGAUACCCUGGUAGUCCAUGCCGUAAACGGUGGGCGCUAGGUGUGGGUUUCCUUCCACGGGAUCCGUGCCGUAGCUAACGCAUUAAGCGCCCCGCCUGGGGAGUACGGCCGCAAGGCUAAAACUCAAAGGAAUUGACGGGGGCCCGCACAAGCGGCGGAGCAUGUGGAUUAAUUCGAUGCAACGCGAAGAACCUUACCUGGGCUUGACAUAUACAGGAUCGCGCCAGAGAUGGUGUUUCCCUUGUGGCUUGUAUACAGGUGGUGCAUGGUUGUCGUCAGCUCGUGUCGUGAGAUGUUGGGUUAAGUCCCGCAACGAGCGCAACCCUUGUCUUAUGUUGCCAGCACGUUGUGGUGGGGACUCGUAAGAAACUGCCGGGGUUAACUCGGAGGAAGGUGGGGAUGACGUCAAAUCAUCAUGCCCCUUAUGUCCAGGGCUUCACACAUGCUACAAUGGUCGGUACAGUGGGUUGCCAGUCCGUGAGGGCGAGCUAAUCCCGCAAAGCCGGUCUCAGUUCGGAUCGGGGUCUGCAACUCGACCCCGUGAAGUCGGAGUCGCUAGUAAUCGCAGAUCAGCACCGCUGCGGUGAAUACCUUGCCGGGCCU
rnacentral:rRNA from 1 species